AUUGAACGCUGGCGGCAGGCCUCACACAUGCGAGUCGAGCGGAGCGGCGGACGGGAGAGGAAUGCAUAGGAAUAUGCCUGGUAGUGGGGGAUAACGUCAGGAAGAGGGCGAUAAUAACGCAUACUUGCAGAUGAGUCUAGGCCGGAUGAGCUAGUUGGUGGGGGAAAGGCCUACCACGGCGACGAUCCGUAACUGGUCUGAGAGGCUGAUCAGCCACACUGGAACUGAGACACGGUCCAGACUCCUACGGGAGGCAGCAGUGGGGAAUAUUGGACAAUGGGCGCAAGCCUGAUGCAGCCAUGCCGCGUGUGUGAAGAAGGUCUUCGGAUUGUAAAGCCCUUUAAGUUGGGAGGCGUUACCAGCAGAAUAAGCACCGGCUAACUUCGUGCCAGCAGCCGCGGUAAUUC
rnacentral:rRNA from 1 species